UCUUACCCAUAAACCUCCACUAGAAACGAAAAGAGUUUAAGGUUUGUCUCAAGACCUCUAAUUUCUCUCUUUACAUGUUCCUAGAUCUCUAUCACAUUAUCUAAUGAAAAGAGAGAGAGAGAGAGAAUCACGAAAAGGAAGAAGAAGAAGCAUGUAAAGAUACAACCAGAAAAGAGAAGACAUGAGGGAUACCUGAGCGUACUACGCGUGCCGACAUGCUCUGUUAUUGUUACUACAUUCUAACCCCUACC